ensembl:lncRNA
GAUUUACUUAACGAGGUUUUGCUAACCACGCCCACAUUCCUAAUAGGAUUAUGUUCAUAUCGUUCAGCUUCAGCCAGGGAUGCAGGUCGCACUCUGUCACAAAACUUUAAGACAAUUCCCCGAUGGGUUGGACCCAAUAUCUGACAAAAGCAGAGAAUCCGAUUGAAUCAGAGUGCAUUAUGGGAAUUAUAGUUUUGUUUUUGUUUUAAGAACAUUUCUGCUGCUUUGGAUUUUUUUUUUAUUUCUUAUGGUCCCGAUUCAGAGAAAAUAAAAACAAACACCAAAGUUGUGCCGAGUCCACGUCAGAAAACGUUUAUUUUCUCCAUUUUGAUUGUUUGCACUGAUUGUGUUGUUCACUCCAAAAGCUCAUAGGAACAGCGAUGGUACUAACUUUAUAAUAGCGAUACACCUGAAAACUAAUUCACAGUAGAAAAAGACUGAAUGAGGAUGACGAAAUGUUUCAUAAAAUCCAACGUGAGAUGGAAGAGGAGCCCACGCGUGAGGAUCAGCCUGAAGGAAAGGAAGGAAAGUCUGGAUGAUGAAGAUGCUGAACGUCAGAUGCUGAACGUCAGGUUGGUUUGCUGCUGCUGCUGUCAGAAGCUUUGGGAAUUCUUCUCUGCUGGUUAAAGCCUUGAUUUGCGGACAUUUCCAGGGGAGGAAUCUUUAGAGGAGCUAAAGGACGGGUUGUUCUUCAUCACCUCCAGGAUCUGCAGUAUAUUCAAGAAAAAAAAAUACUAUUUGAAAUAAUUAAUGUGUUCAUCUUCUGCAAAAAUGCCUUUCCUAGAUGAAGAAAAAUGUAUUUGUUCACAAAUGCAAACUAGAUAUUCAAAAUGUUUAAACUUUACACAAAAACAGAAAUAUUUAUCUUUUUUAAAUAAAUGAAACUGCAUUUGUUAACAAUUAUUUGCUUGGUUUGUUAGCAAAUAACUUUUGGUCUUUCUUCAAUCUAUAAAAUUAACAUCAGAGAUUAGAGUCUUUUUAUGGACUAAAAACAUAUAAUUGUUUGUAGGGACGUUUUUUUUAAGUUUUUAUUUCUUAAAAACAGCUCAAAGACAACAAAUGACUUAAUUUUUUAGAAUUUUAAUGCACUUUCAGUUUAUUGUACAGCAAACUUGCAGAACUGUAAACUGUAGCAAAUGUCUUAGUUUAAAAAAAUUUUUUUUUUAAAUGUUUAGAAAUCAAAGAAAACAGCUAUUAUGUUGAGGGUGUUAACCCUUGUCCUAUCCAAGGCACGUUAACGUUGGGAGUUGGGUCAUCUAGACCCACUAGACAGUGCUCUGAACCUUUUUUCUUCAAUGAUUUGUGAUCUUCACUGGUGUCCAUGGAUUACAUGAAAUCUUUCCACCUUUUUCAUGGUAGGGAGAACAUGUCAAAGUAAGGGUGGGGUCAUCUAAGAUAGCACAAGGGUUAAUAUAUAUAUCUAUAUACACAUCUACGCAGCACUGCCGCCCAACCGCCCACCUUUUAUCAAGGCUUGUCAAAGCUGCAUCUGGUAAUUAUGCUAACAAUGCAGGUUCUGCUAUUGUGGCUAAAAGUGCUAGAAUAGCGAUCAGCAUCAUCAACUGACUCAGAAAAACACAUUAAGAUACUUAUUAUGCUAACUAUGCUAGUUUUGCUAAUAUAGCUAAAUGUGCUAACUUAGCGAUUUUAUCUCCAUAGCACCAAUUUUGUGUUUUGGUCACCUCAGUUUGACAAACAGAUCGUCAGUUUCAGACGAAAGAGGAAAAGUCAACUUUUUGUUGUCCUUAGCAACAGUGGGUUUUUGCUGACCAUGCCCACAUUCCUUAUAUGUCCAUAUCCAGUGUUUUUCAUUAUGUUCAGUUGCAGCCUUGGAUGCAGGCAUUCACAUUUUAAAGUAUUCCAUUGAAAAACACAACAGUUAUAACAGUGCGCCACUUUUGCUAGCUCGCCACGCGCACGCCGUUCAAAAUCUACAACUUCUAAUUCCAUUAUUUUGCAUUGUAUUUUUAUUUGUCUGUAGAUGCCUGAGAAGUUAGGAGACAAUCGCAAAAAAUCCCUAGGACGAGUUUUCCUUUGUAUCUGGCGCUAAAGGGGCUUUUAAAAAAAAGGCAAGAUGGCGGCCUUUUCCCAAGGUCAAAGGUCAAUGACACUUCUGUGGUGUUUGUAGACUGGAGGUGGAGUGUGUGCAAUUGCGUGAAAAUAAUUCAAACAAAAGUGUUUUCAUUUAUUUUCGGAAAACACAAACGCCAAUUCUCAGAGUUCGCCACAAAAUGGCCGCCAAGCCGUAGGUCUUGUGGCCAUCCCAUAAUGAUUUCAAAACUUCUUUGGGAUAUCCCCAACACGUGUUUUAUCAAUUUUUUUCGGCCCCAUAAGUGAUUUUCGGCCCAUUCGUUUUUUUUACGUGUUUGUUCGUCGUGAUGUCAUCGUCUUUGGGGGGGGGGGGGGGGGACCUUGACUUUGUGGAAAAAUUAUUUUUGAAUUUAUCUGAGGUGUGUGCACAUUUUGGUGACUUUCCGAUCAUGUGGCGGGGGUCACAUCUUUGCUGAGAGCGGCGAAGUCGUUUAAACUGCAGUCAGUGAUGCUGCUGAAGGCCAUAAAAAAAAGAAGUUUUUAGAGUUAAAGGUUCAGUUUGGCUCCAAAAUCUUUCUGAAAAACAAAAUAUUGUUCAGUCGUAGAAGAAAUCUCAAAUUAAAAUGUGCAAGACUAAACAUUAAAGUGUCACCUUAAUAGUAAAACAACUAAAAUUGCCAUAAAAUAAAGAUUCCAGACCGAGAUAUUGAAAUAACUUCAAUAAGAAUGUAAGUUUAGCCUCCAGUGUAAAAGCAGUUGUUCCGCUUUUCUCUGCUGCAAUGAAAUUAAUCAGAUAUUUUUAUAUUUAGUUUCAUUAUUUCUAGGGCUGCACGAUAUGAGGAAAACUUGCGAUAUGCGAUAUUAGAGAUCAAUAUUGCGAUAACAAUAUAAGUUGCGGUAUAUAAUAAAAUAGAAAAAUGCCCAAAACAUCAUUCCCAUUUUAUUGCAACAGUUUAAAAUUAUACUCCAAAUGACCCUCAUUGACAUAGGUGACAAACAUCUAACAUGAUUGGCCUCCAUCUGAUUGGUCAAAGCAUAAAGGGAUUUAUUUGAUUCGUUAAAUGCGUCAAGCUGCCAUAAGAUUGUUUUAACACAUUUUGGGUUUUCUUUUGCGAUAUGCAUAUUGCAGAGCUGGAUAUUGCGAUAACCAUAAAUUUGCGGUAUAUUGUGCAGGCCUAAUUAUUUCUUUGUUUUAAUCAUAAUGUGUUCUGAUGAUUUCUGGUUCAUAUUUUUUAAUUCGCUGCAGCUUAAACUGCCUCUUUGUGUGUUUUUUUUUCAUCUAACGCGUCAUCAACCCUGAUUAUCAGAGCUGGGUCAGCCAUAAGCUAGAGGGAUCUGGCCUGACGCUGCGUUUCAGGAUCCCUCAGCAUCAGCAUCAGCAGCUGCCGCCACGUGACGCUGCGACCCGCUCAGCCGGCUCUGCUUAACGCAGCAGAUGCGGGGGGGGUGGGGGGGGGCAGAAAACGUCCCCGAGUCGAGUCCCUGACCCGGAUUAUUCCAGCUCCCCGCAGGAAUGAGAUGACCUGACACGAGCUGCAGACCUGCAGCUGCAUCCAGGUUUCCGUCGCCGUGACGACGAUGUGUGUUCCUGUCCAGGUGGAGGGUUUCUAACAGUUUAUUUUACAACGUCAAAGUGGGAUCAGAUCAGAAACCUCAGCUGAGGGGGGGGGCAUACCUGCAGAGGGGGCAACUCAGCCCAAACAAACCGCCGUAUUGUUUCCUCCAGGUCUCCCUCCUCCCUCACAGACCGACUCCCUGGAAAGCCUCAGGACUUGUGGUUCCUGAUGAACAGUGGCGCCUUUUCAGUCCGGCGGCUGAAGCAAACGGGGGGGGGGGGCGGGGGUCCUGCUCUGCUGCCCAUCACAGCUGCUUCAGGUGACGUCUCAAC